rnacentral:tRNA from 1 species
GGCGCCGUCGCCAAGUGGUAAGGCAGAGGUCUGCAAAACCUCCACCGCCGGUUCGAAUCCGGCCGGCGCCU